rnacentral:rRNA from 1 species
UACGUAGGGGGCAAGCGUUGCCCGGAUUUAUUGGGCGUAAAGAGCGUGUAGGCGGCUAGGUAGGUCCGUUGUGAAAACUCGAGGCUCAACCUCGAGCUGUCGAUGGAAACCAUCUGGCUAGAGUCCGGAAGAGGAGAGUGGAAUUCCUGGUGUAGCGGUGAAAUGCGCAGAUAUCAGGAAGAACACCCGUGGCGAAGGCGGCUCACUGGACUGGUAUUGACGCUGAGGUGCGAAAGCGUGGGGAGCAAACAGG